rnacentral:tRNA from 1 species
GAAUAUGAAGCGAUAAAUCGCAAUUAGUUUCGACCUAAUUAUAGAUGAUAAAUUCAUCCCUAUUCU